AGCUAAAGUAUCGUCGUUAUUGAAAUCAUUUCGAGACUGCCAAUUUUUGCCUUUAAAAGAGUAAGCGCUUCCGCCACACGGUUUAAGUGUCGGGACAUUUGAGACUUCCACAACAAAGGCAAAAGGAACGUGGUGGGAAGACGAGAGGAAAACUAGUGGAGGGACGGAAGAAAACUAUUUUUUUACCCCAAAUAAGCGGGGGACGAUAGGGAAAUGGUUGAGGAAUAGAGUAAAACUAUUUUGUGUGAUAAACCGUGCGUCACUAUGAACUUAGAUGAAUCUACUGACAACCUUAAAAUUCGAUAGCAGCGACGAAAGUUAUUAGACAGUUUUAAAAAACGGAUAUAAAGUAAUGACUAUUGUCUGUACAUUAUUUCGCUAUUGUGACGUAAAACACCUACGUCAUUUUGAAUUUUUUGACCGAGCUUUAUGCUUAAUAACUGUGUGACUCACAAACCUUUCAGUGUAUAGAAUACGUUUAAAUUACAAAUUUCUUAAUAAAAUCAAGCCUUUUGUAA